rnacentral:rRNA from 1 species
GAUGAACGCUGGCUACAGGCUUAACACAUGCAAGUCGAGGGGAAACGACGGGGAAGCUUGCUUCUCCGGGCGUCGACCGGCGCACGGGUGAGUAACGCGUAUCCAACCUGCCUCUGACUGAGGGAUAACCCGUCGAAAGUCGGCCUAAUACCUCAUGGUAUCGUCUGCGGGCAUCCAACGACGAUUAAAGAUUUCAUCGGUCAGGGAUGGGGAUGCGUCUGAUUAGCUUGUUGGCGGGGUAACGGCCCACCAAGGCUACGAUGAGGAGGUGUUCUGAGAGGAAGGUACCCCACAUUGGAAAUGAGACACGGUCCAAACUGCUACGGGAGGCAGGAGUGAGGAAUAUUAGUCAAUGGACGAGAGCCUGAACCAGCCAAGUAGCGUGCAGGAAGACGGCGCUAUGGGUUGUAAACUGCUUUUAUGCGAGGAAAAAGUGAGGGACGUGGCCCUCAUUGCAGGUACCGAAUGAAUAAGGACCGGCUAAUUCCGUG